rnacentral:rRNA from 1 species
CUACACGGGUUUCUAAUCCUGUUCGCUACCUCGGCUUUCGCAAAUGAGCGUCAGUUCCCGUCCAGAAAGCUGCCUUCGCCAUUGGUGUUCCGAUACAUAUCAACGCAUUUCACCGCUACACGUAUCGUUCCGCUUUCCUCUCCGGGACUCAAGACUGCCAGUAUAGGAAGCAAUGUUGGAGUUGAGCUCCGACCUUUCACUUCCUACUUAACAGUCCGCCUGCUUGCCCUUUACGCCCAGUAAAUCCGGACAACGCUUGCCACCUACGUAUUACCGCGGCUGCUGGCAC